rnacentral:lncRNA from 1 species
AGAUCGUUUAUCAAUUCGUGACAAUGUAAAGCUUGCAGAAAGCUCUGGAAAAACGAGGGGAACGUUGAGGAAUCAACUUGAAGGAUAUCUCUCGCAUUGGAGGACAAAAAUAGGAUUCAAAUCCAGGAAAAAUAUUCAGUCAAGAUCUGAC